rnacentral:rRNA from 1 species
CCCUUAGACGUUCUGGGCCGCACGCGCGCUACACUGACCAGUGCAACAAGCAUCCGUCCUUGGCCGACAGGCCCGGGCAAUCUUUGAACGCUGGUCGUGAUGGGGAUAGACUUUUGCAAUUUUUGGUCUUCAACGAGGAAUUCCUAGUAAACGCAAGUCAUCAACUUGCAUUGAUUACGUCCCUGCCCUUUGUACACACCGCCCGUCGCACCUACCGAUUGAAUGGUCCGGUGAAGCCUCCGGAUUGGCGCGCACCUCGGUGCCGCCGAGAAGUUGGCUAAACCUUACCAUUUAGAGGAGGGUGAAGUCGUAACA